AGGUCAUUUCAAAGAGAGCUUGCAGGGCUUAAAGCCAGAAACUCUUAAGACUAUGACCAGAGAUUGACAUUCUUCAUAGGAUGCCACAGUCACUCAAUAGUGCUAUGUUUUCCUGAAGGGAUAUAGGA
ensembl:snoRNA